rnacentral:lncRNA from 1 species
UUCUAUUUCCCUCCUCUCAUCUCUCUCUAACCCCUCUCUUAAGCCACCGACCUCUUCCACUGCCACCACCAUGCACCGUCGCCGGUGGUGCUCCAAACACUACCAAACUUUCACCCUCUCCUCGUCUCUUCAUCCUUUACUCAUAUCCGAACCCCAAAUCCUCAAACUCCAUCUCAACCUCCAUGAAUCUUCAAGAAAACCGAAACCCUAGCCGCCUAUUUCUCCUCAAAUUCGUCAAGUUUGUGACCUCACCACCACUUAAUAUCUACAUGAGUGUGUAGGUCUCCCCCUAAUCUACCGUUCUUUCUUGGUUCGAAGUCAAAACUCUGGUGGCUCAAUUCUGGCAGGUUGCUGGACGUUUCUACUUUGGCUCGAAGCAUUUCUUGUUGUUGAGUUCGUUAUUCGACUUCAGUUUGAUUGGAGUUGAUUGUGAUGGGCGAGCAACAAAAAGAGCAUGUCCGACAUCAAAACUUCAUCCAUCACUGCCCAAAUCACCACCACUAUUUCGGACACUCGAGUUUCAGGUACACCCUAAUCCCUUGUAUCUGCUUUCUUUUUCUUUUUCUUUCUGUUUCAUUGUAGUUUGCUUAGGUCUAAAAUUUCUAAUUUUCUUCUUUGUUUGAUCAUGUAUUUUAUUUAUCAUUAGUUAGUUUAGAGUCAGUAUGAUUAGUUGUCGCUCGUCGAUUUCAAAUUAUUGUGUUGUUCGUUCAUUUAGUUACUUCAAUUGGAUUCCUAUCUCAUAUGUUUUGCAAGUGGUGUUUGAAGUUAGUUUUAAAUUCAAGCUUGUAAAUUUUAGAUUCAAUUGCAGUUUGUGUUAUUUCACGUUUAACUUGUCGUGCUAGUUAACUAAUGUUUCAGCAUUUUCAACAAAAUCGCUAGUCAGUUUAGUUUAAAUUGAAGGUUUAAAGUUUGUUUCUCAUCUGAUUACUGCUCACUAUGGUUAAUUCCUAUUAAAUAGGUUAUGUUGAUAUAGUUAGACAUUUAACUAAGAUAGUCAGUUACUCGUUAAAUUGCUCGGCUGUUGGAUUUUUGUUAUAGUUGAUUGUUCACUCAAUUAGGAUCAUUUUGUUUGAGACGAUUUUGUUUGGUUUAGCUUAAUUGUUUGAGUUUUAGUUUGUUGGUAAAGUUCUACCCUUUUACUAAAAGAUUUGGCCAAUCCAAGUCUAGUUUGAGAUCUAUUUCUGCUGAAUGAAUGAAUUGAACAUAAAGGGGAAGGGUAGUAAGGGGUACUUGGGUGUAGGGUCUUUGUUUGGUUGAUUUUACUAUUGAAGACUGUUGGAGUAUAAUACUCCAAAAGACUAUCCAGAUUUGGUGAGGAAAACUAUUCAUUUGACAAAAAUCUGAUUUUGGACAGAUUUUUGAUCAAAAAUCUAUCAUUUUGGACAGAUUUUUGGCUAAACAAAAUCUGUCCCAAGAGUCCUUCUCCUCUCUUAUAAAGGUGAGGUUUUUCCACACUAUCUAGAUAUUCAAAAUACACAUCCUUGCUCACUGAAAAAAGGAACACCACUUGAAAGCAAAAAAA